AAGGAAUACUCACGUUAAUAAAGAUAGAGAAAAAAAAGCUCAGAAAGAAUGAAUAAAGUGUGAAAAGAAUCUUGCAAAUAAAUAGAACCAUCACAUGUCAACAUUAACCAAGCCCAACUGAAUGAAGAUGAUAGACAGGCAGACAGAUGAUAGGCAGGCAGACAGAUGGGCGGACAGGCAGGCAGGCAGACAGACAGAUAGUAGAUGUCUGGAAAUGUCAGCUAUAUCCCCUCAUGAGGGAAGAGAUUUCACUGCCAUGAGACGGUCAACAAACUAUGGAGAGCAUCCGCCAGUGUAGACUGUUGGAUGGAGCCAAUGCUUUGCUUCCACUACUACUCAGAUGCACAGAUAGUACCUUCAAUGUCUCAAAUGCAGAAACGCCAGAGGCAAGUCACUCAGAGACAAAGGGAGUCAUCGAUUAAGAGGAGAGCUAAAGAGUAGAACUGAGUGCCAGGCAUGCUCGAAACAGAGGCAGAAAAAUAAUCUAAUGAUUAAAAAAAAUCGAGAAUGGAAAACAUAGGGGGUUGUUAUCCACCAAGCACCAAGUCAGGACGUCAGGGUGGAUCCUGGCAUGAAGGAGACUGCAGAGUAAUGAGCAGUAACCAGAGGAGCUUGUGGGAGGAGCCGGUGUACCAGGAGAAACUGGGGUUGAGUUUCCUACACUUGGGAAGGCUGGAGGCAAUAAGGAACUAAAAAUGUAUAGUUCUAAACUCUGAAACAGGCUAUUUCUCAGGGCUGCAAAGCUAAGACAUAAAGUGUGCACAGAAAAGUUUGAAUCUCAUCUCUAGAAAGUACGUUUAAAUGUCGGAUGUGUUGGCACUCCCUUGUAACACCAGUUCUGUGGAGACGGAAACAUGGAGCUCCCCAAGGCUCAUGGUCCAGCCAGCCUUGUUGACUCACCGAGCACCAGGCAAGAGACGAAGAAAUGAGACAUGAUAUCCAGAGAAACGGCACCCAAGGAUGAGACCUGACAUCCAUACACACUCACAGACACAGCGCUAUGUCUUGCAAAUCUGCACAGACACAAGAUUCCAAUCUGCUGCACAGAAAAGGCUCUACCACUGAAUUUUCCAAACUGGGCCACCCCUAUGAACCAAGCUUUCAUGAACACAAAGGCUCAAAUACAAUGUGCUGCACACUGCCCUCAUUAAUUCAUAAUGUACCUUACCAUAUUGAAACUACGCAAUGAAUGGGUUCCCUGGAUGCCUUUGAGCAAGGAACGUUCUAGAAAGAAACACCCGUCACAAGCUGAGACGUUAGGCUUGCCCUCAACAGCGUUGGAAAAGCAGUCUCCUUGUAGCAUUGUCAGCUGUGAGAGACACCGUUAACCCAUCACCCUACUCCACACAGAGCAGAGCUAACGGCACUGUGGGCUCAGAACAUGAGCUUUUCCAGUGUAGUAAUGGCCUUCUGCCAGGUCUAAGUCACCCAACAUGAAGUUGGGCAUUCCCUGACAUGACAGCUUCUGUUUCCAUAGUAGCUAGCUGUGGUGAGCUGCUUUACCAGAAACUCAAACCACCCGGAAUUCUUCAGAAAAUACAAAGGGCCCCGGAAGAGGACCCUCCCCCACUGACAUCCUUCCAAACACCUGUGUUUGCAUUUACCGUUUCCUCCCAGGAUCGGAAACCAGAUGGAGAAGGCUGGGGCUAGCUUUUUAAAAACGAUGUCAGAAUACUGUGAGAAGGGAAUAAGUUCGGACUAGAGACAAGCUGACAUUUUUCUACUGAUUGAGGAGGCUCUGUCUGCAGCCAAUGGCGUUCUCUUGUGGCUCACUCGAGGCUGUGAAUUGCUGACAUGUAAAUUCCUGAUAGUCAAGGAUGAUAACUGGAGAGGAGGUUGAUCAGAGAGGAUGCUGACACAGGGCAAACUGAACCAGCUGAGCGGCUGGAGACAGGGCGAGCAUGGGGAUGACUCUGGAAGGCUGCCCAGGCUGCCCUGGCCCCUUAGCAACAGAUGUCACGGGGAAGCCUGAGCUCCUGGCACAGCCAAGCCUGUUUGUAAUCAGUAACCCAGGAACCUGUUGAGGAGGCUGCACCCCUUCCCCACUCUCUUACCAAUCAUCAAUUCUGGGGAAGACACAGCAAGUGUGAAAAUCCAAGAGAGAUUUGUGGAGAGGUUGGGACAGCUGAGGUGAGCAAUCUGUGGAGCGGCUGGGUCACCUGAGGCCCAUCUGUGGAGCAACUGGGAUGGCUGAGGCCCAGAAUUUUAAGAAGAUGGCAUCUGAUGACAGAGAUGAGGAGCUGCAGAAUGAAUUCUCAGGCUGCCUACUGGGGACAGGGAGAGAGCCUUCUACUUUGCUGAUAUACAGUGACAUUAAGGUAGGAAAGUUAUUCCUGGUUCAAGUGCAGACAUAAUGAAAGAACACUGGUUACAAACGAGCAAGCCUGGGGCUCUCCUCCUGCUCCUGAAUGACCUUAGAGAAGUCAGUGAACUUCACUUGGGCUCUUGAGCCUCUCGUCUGUAAAAAUCAAUGAGCCUGAUUAUUCAAGGACACAUGUUGGAAGCUCUCAAGCCAAUUGUGCAGACAUAGUCAGUUUGGAUUAAGUUGUACUUUAAUCUUCCAAUGUAACAGGACCAUGUUCAAUGUCCCUUACUGUAGCCAUAGUCGCCCGUGUUCACCUCACAGCCACCACAUGAGUCAGAUGAUUUCUAAAAUCUCUCUCAACUUUACUUCUAUACCUAACAGAUAACAGAAACUACAGUAUUCCUACUUUCAAAAUAUACUCCAAGCGGGCAUGCUCACUGCUACCACACUGUUAGCAAUGCCCUGUGCACUCUUGUGGUGGAUGUCUUAGGGGAAUGCUGGUCUCCACCCUGCUCUUCUGAGUGAGCCAUGGUCUCCACCCUGCCCUUCUGAGUGGGCCAUGGUCUCCACCCUGCCCUUCUGAGUGGGCCAUGGUCUCCACCCUGCCCUUCUGAGUGGGCCAUGGUCUCCACCCUGCCCUUCUCAGUGGGCCAUGGUCUCCACCCUGCCCUUCUGAGUGAGCCAUGGUCUCCACCCUGCUCUUCUGCAGCCUUUCCCAGUAGAAGUGGCAGAGACAACUUUUAAAGUCACACAUGGCUGUCACUCAGUGUUACCUCAGAGAUACUUGCUCUGACCUCGCCAUUUUAAAUGGCCUUCUCCCACACUCCCCUUGCACACACCCAGCUCCAUUUCCAGGUAGCGCACUCCGUUCUCAUACCUUGGUCACGUUCUCUUGCUUCAUGUUGUUGUGUUAUGAUUGGAGGGCAGAGGAUAAGAUCUCCCAGGACUGACCUUUCUGUCACCCACCUUGAGUGCUUACAAUGGCUCGGAAUAGAGCCUGGAAGACUACACCCCCAGUGAAUAACUCUGAGACAGUGUGAGCUCAUGGGUCACUGGUACCUCUUCUUACCAUAACUCCUUUUCAGAGGUGUGUAGGGGGAGGUGCUGAUGCUAAGGUCCUGUUCCCCAGUUGGUUCUUGAUCUGUUCGUAAAGAAAGCCAUGGGCCAAUUGCUGAGCAAGAGGUAUGGGUGGGACUUCUGGGUCCCUGGAGGAGGCAGGGAAAAGCAAAGAAGGAGAAUGGAGGUUACCAUGCUUUAGAGAAAGGAAAAUGGGGAAACCAUGUGAGAUCUCACAACGGAGUGCACUGUUCCCACAGGCCCCUCCUACAGUCAUGGGUGGUCAGGGGAGCUUAGCAACUGAAGUUUAGGGCAGGUGGGAGAGACUGAGAUAGAAAUAUUAUUAAGGGCUUGCUUUUCCAGGCAGGAGAGAAUAGCACCCAGCAACUAUGCCAAGUGGAAAAG
rnacentral:sRNA from 1 species